rnacentral:rRNA from 1 species
GCGAACGUUGGCGGCAGGCCUAAUACAUGCAAGUCGAGCGGUCCCUUCGGGGGCAGCGGCGGACGGGUGAGUAACGCGUGGGAACGUGCCCUUUGGUACGGAACAACUGAGGGAAACUUCAGCUAAUACCGUAUGUGCCCUUCGGGGGAAAGAUUUAUCGCCAUUGGAGCGGCCCGCGUUAGAUUAGCUAGUUGGUAGGGUAAUGGCCUACCAAGGCGACGAUCUAGAGCUGGUCUGAGAGGAUGAUCAGCCACACUGGACUGAGACACGGCCCAGACUCCUACGGGAGGCAGCAGUAGGGAAUGUUGCGCAAUGAGCGAAAGCCUGACGCAGCCAUGCCGCGUGAAUGAUGAAGGUCUUAGGGUUGUAAAGCUCUUUUACCCGGGAUGAUAAUGACAGUACCGGGAGAAUAAGCCCCGGCUAACUCCGUGCCAGCAGCCGCCGCCGUAA